UUCCCGACUCCAUAACAGGUAACAAGCAGACACUAACAGGGCAUCGAAUUUUGGAGGCGUUUAAGUUCGGGUAUGCUUAUCGUCCGUUCAUUGGUGAUCGAGAAUUUUAUCCUAUUGUUGAAAAAUCUCUGGUUGUUCAA